rnacentral:rRNA from 1 species
AGAUUGAACGCUGGCGGCAUGCCUUACACAUGCAAGUCGAACGGCAGCACGGGUGCUUGCACCUGGUGGCGAGUGGCGAACGGGUGAGUAAUAUAUCGGAACGUACCCUAGAGUGGGGGAUAACGGCAGCGAAAGUUGCGCUAAUACCGCAUACGAUCUACGGAUGAAAGUGGGGGAUCGCAAGACCUCAUGCUCAUGGAGCGGCCGAUAUCUGAUUAGCUAGUUGGUGGGGUAAAAGCCUACCAAGGCAUCGAUCAGUAGCUGGUCUGAGAGGACGACCAGCCACACUGGAACUGAGACACGGUCCAGACUCCUACGGGAGCAGCAGUGGGGAAUUUGGACAA